UAGUGACAAGAAUAACAAUACAGGGCAUUCAUGUCUUGUAAUUGGAAUGAGUAGAAUUUAAACCCCUUUACGAGUAUCAAUUGGAGGGCAAGUCUGGUGCCAGCAGCCGCGGUAAUUCCAGCUCCAAUAGCGUAUAUUAAAGUUGUUGCAGUUAAAAAAGCUCGUAGUUGGAUUUC
rnacentral:rRNA from 1 species